CAGCCGCCACGGUAAUACGAAGGGGGCUAGCGUUGUUCGGAUUUACUGGGCGUAAAGCGCACGUAGGCGGAUCGAUCAGUCAGGGGCGAAAUCCCAGAGCUCAACUCUGGAACUGCCUUUGGUACUGUCGAUCUGGAGUAUGGAAGAGGUGAGUGGAAUUCCGAGUGUAGAGGUGAAAUUCGUAGAUAUUCGGAGGAACACCAGUGGCGAAGGCGGCUCACUGGUCCAUUACUGACGCUGAGGUGCGAAAGCGUGGGGAGCAAACAGGAUUAGAUACCCGAGUAGUCCCUGUCUCUUAUAC
rnacentral:rRNA from 1 species